rnacentral:rRNA from 1 species
GGGGAGGUCAACUGGCAGUUCACCGGGGCGUGCCGAUGGAAACUUUUUCGGAGCGGAAAUUGGCGCUGCCUAGUGGCGGACGGGUGAGUAACGCGUGAGCAACCUGCCCUGCACUGGGGGACAACAGCCGGAAACGGCUGCUAAUACCGCAUAGGCGCACAGCCCUGCAUGGGGCGGUGUGGAAAGUAAUACGGUGCAGGAUGGGCUCGCGUCUGAUUAGCUUGUUGGCGGGGCAACGGCCCACCAAGGCGACGAUCAGUAGCCGGCCUGAGAGGGUGGGCGGCCACAUUGGGACUGAGACACGGUCCAGACUCCUACGGGAGGCAGCAGUGGGGGAUAUUGCACAAUGGGGGGAACCCUGAUGCAGCGACGCCGCGUGGGCGAUGGAGUGCUUCGGCAUGUAAAGCCCUAUCAGCAGGGAAGAAAAUGACGGUACCUGACUAAGAAGCCCCGGCUAAAUACGUGCCAGCAGCCGCGGUAAUACGUAUGGGGCAAGCGUUAUCCGGAUUUACUGGGUGUAAAGGGAGCGUAGGCGGCCUGGCAAGCCUGAUGUGAAAUACCGGGGCCCAACCCCGGGGCUGCAUUGGGAACUGCCAGGCUGGAGUGCCGGAGAGGCAGGCGGAAUUCCUAGUGUAGCGGUGAAAUGCGUAGAUAUUANGAGGAACACCAGUGGCGAAGGCGGCCUGCUGGACGGUGACUGACGCUGAGGCUCGAAAGCGUGGGGAGCAAACAGGAUUAGAUACCCUGGUA